rnacentral:rRNA from 1 species
CCUACGGGUGGCAGCAGUGAGGAAUAUUGGUCAAUGGGCGCGAGCCUGAACCAGCCAAGUAGCGUGAAGGAUGACUGCCCUACGGGUUGUAAACUUCUUUUAUAAAGGAAUAAAGUGAGGCACGUGUGCAUUUUCGUAUGUACUGUAUGAAUAAGGAUCGGCUAACUCCGUGCCAGCCGCCGAGGUAAUACGGAGGAUCCGAGCGUUAUCCGGAUUUUUUGGGUUUAAGGGGAGCGUAGAGGGGUUGUUAAGUCAGUUGUGAAAGUUUGCGGCUCAACCGGAAAAUUGCAAUUGAUACUGGCAGUCUUGAGUACAGUUGAGGUAGGCGGAAUUCGUGGUGUAGCGGUGAAAUGCUUAGAUAUCACGAAGAACUCCGAUUGCGAGGGCAGCUUACUAAACUGCCACUGACAUUGAUGCUCGAAAGUGUGGGUAUCAAACAGGAUUAGAUACCCGAGUAGUC